rnacentral:rRNA from 1 species
UACGUAGGGUGCGAGCGUUAAUCGGAAUUACUGGGCGUAAAGUGUGCGCAGGCGGCCGCGCAAGUCGAGUGUGAAAGCCCCGAGCUUAACUUGGGAACUGCGCUCGAAACUACGUGGCUGGAGUGUGGCAGAGGAAGGUGGAAUUCCAGGUGUAGCGGUGAAAUGCGUAGAGAUCUGGAGGAACACCGAUGGCGAAGGCAGGCUUCUGGGCCAACACGGACGCUCAUGCACGAAAGCGUGGGGAGCAAACAGG